CUGGUUUCUGUUGACUUGUUACAGCGCUGUUCUGCCGCAGUUGACCUUGCAUUACUGUGUCGCAGUGUGUUUCAGUCUUUAAAGGUGAACACAUGCAAUGAAUCAGUGUGUGGAGACAGAGGAGGGGGUCCAUCCCUCUGAAACCCCUCUGUGUGGGCAACAUGACAACCAGACCAAAGCUCAGAGGAAGCCAGACUUCAGUGAAUCUCCCUUCUCAGAUUCAAAGAAGAAGGUUGCAACAGCUGAUCAUUAUUCAGUCUUGUCUUCAGACAGUUGGAAAAAGCAAAAGAUGAACCCCCCCACCACCCAGGAGCUUGGUGUUGGAAGUAGUGCUGGGAUGGAAACAAUGUCAACACACCUGUCAA